rnacentral:tRNA from 1 species
GGCACUAUGGCCGAGUGGUUAAGGCGAGAGACUCGAAUGAUUCAAUUAAAAAAAUAAAUUCGGCUAUCUCUUGGGCUCUGCCCGCGCUGGUUCAAAUCCUGCUGGUGUCG